rnacentral:piRNA from 1 species
UGGAAACCUGUGCCCUUUGUAGAUGCCCUCU